rnacentral:rRNA from 1 species
UGGGGAAUAUUGGGCAAUGGGCGAAAGCCUGACCCAGCAACGCCGCGUGAGGGAAGAAGGUUUUCGGAUUGUAAACCUCUGUCCUUGGGGACGAAAAAAAUGACGGUACCCAAGGAGGAAGCCCCGGCUAACUACGUGCCAGCAGCCGCGGUAAUACGUAGGGGGCGAGCGUUGUCCGGAAUUACUGGGCGUAAAGGGUGCGUAGGCGGUUUUUUAAGUCAGAUGUGAAAUCCCCGGGCUUAACUCGGGUGGUGCAUUUGAAACUGGGAGGCUAGAGUGUAGGAGAGGGAAGCGGAAUUCCUAGUGUAGCGGUGAAAUGCGUAGAUAUUAGGAGGAACACCAGUGGCGAAGGCGGCUUUCUGGACUGUAACUGACGCUGAGGCACGAAAGCGUGGGGAGCAAACAG